rnacentral:rRNA from 1 species
UGGGGAAUCUUGCACAAUGGGGGAAACCCUGAUGCAGCGACGCCGCGUGAACGAUGAAGCCCUUCGGGGUGUAAAGUUCUUUCGACAGGAACGAUAAUGACGGUACCAUUUAUAAGCUCCGGCUAACUACGUGCCAGCAGCCGCGGUAAUACGUAGGGAGCAAGCGUUGUUCGGAUUUACUGGGCGUAAAGGGCGCGUAGGCGGCGCGGUAAGUCACUUGUGAAAUCUCUGAGCUUAACUCAGAACGGCCAAGUGAUACUGCUGUGCUAGAGUGCGGAAGAGGCAACCGGAAUUCUUGGUGUAGCGGUGAAAUGCGUAGAUAUCAAGAGGAACACCUGAGGCGAAGGCGGGUUGCUGGGCCGACACUGACGCUGAUGCGCGAAAGCCAGGGGAGCAAACG